AUUGAACGCUGGCGGCAGGCCUAACACAUGCAAGUCGAACGAGUGGCGGACGGGUGAGUAAUGUCUGGGAAACUGCCUGAUGGAGGGGGAUAACUACUGGAAACGGUAGCUAAUACCGCAUACCAUCGGAUGUGCCCAGAUGGGAUUAGCUAGUAGGUGGGGUAACGGCUCACCUAGGCGACGAUCCCUAGCUGGUCUGAGAGGAUGACAGGCCACACGGGAGCUGGGACACGGUCCAGACUCCUACAGGAAGCGGAGGUGGGUAAUAUUGCACAAUGGGCGCAGGCCUGAUGCAGCCAUGCCGCGUGUAUGAGGAAGGCCUUCGGGUUGUAAAGUACUUACGGCGGGGAGGCGUUACCCGCAGAGGAAGCACCGGCUAACUCCUUGCCAGCAGCCGCGGUAAUU
rnacentral:rRNA from 1 species